rnacentral:tRNA from 1 species
GGUUGUAGCUCAGUGGUAGAAUACAUGUUUAGCAUGCAUGAGGCCCUGGAUUCGACCCUCAACACCG